UGCAUAUCAAAAAGCGGAGGAAAAGAAACCAACAGGGAUUGCCUUAGUAGCGGCGAGUGAAGCGGCAAAAGCUCAAAUUUGAAAUCUGGCGCCUUCGGUGUCCGAGUUGUAAUUUGAAGAUUGUAACCUUGGGGUUGGCUCUUGUCUAUGUUUCUUGGAACAGGACGUCACAGAGGGUGAGAAUCCCGUGCGAUGAGAUGCCCAAUCCUAUGUAAGGUGCUUUCGAAGAGUCGAGUUGUUUGGGAAUGCAGCUCUAAGUGGGUGGUAAAUUCCAUCUAAAGCUAAAUAUUGGCGAGAGACCGAUAGCGAACAAGUACAGUGAUGGAAAGAUGAAAAGAACUUUGAAAAGAGAGUGAAAAAGUACGUGAAAUUGUUGAAAGGGAAGGGUUUGAGAUCAGACUCGAUAUUUUGUGAGCCUUGCCUUCGUGGCGGGGUGACCCGCAGCUUAUCGGGCCAGCAUCGGUUUGGGCGGUAGGAUAAUGGCGUAGGAAUGUGACUUUACUUCGGUGAAGUGUUAUAGCCUGCGUUGAUGCUGCCUGCCUAGACCGAGGACUGCGAUUUUAUCAAGGAUGCUGGCAUAAUGAUCCCAAACCGCCCGUC
rnacentral:rRNA from 1 species